GGUAGUUUGAUUUUGUUUCUGUCCACUUUGAAUGAAGUGUGUUUUACGAUGAUAAAAUGACAAAUGAUUUUUUGUUUUUUUAAUAGAGUCUAGGGUGUUUGAGCUAUUGCCCAUCUUGCUUAAUACCAGACAAAUUUCAAAGAUUGUAGAUCCCAUCAGUCACUCAGACACAAAAACAUGGGAAAAUAGGGUCCAGGUUGAAAAAAAAACGGAUGUACGCUUUAAUGAUGGCUCCUUUAUUGUCCGUAAGGAGACAAUAACUUUCACCCUGAGGGCUCCUGCACUUUUUUGAUCUAAAAGCACAAGGUAAGAAAAGAUUUAAACGUUAGGAAAGGCGUACCACGGAACAGAUGUCAAACCACAAGCGGAGAAACCAAUAAGUGACGAGAGCUUUGGGAAAACCAAUCCGUAUUCCCUACAGAUGUUUUGAUUGAUUUCUGUUCAACUCUUGUCAGUUUGAUUCACAUCUUGUCGCCUUGCAGCUCUGUCUGAACGGGCCCUGGAAUCAAGUCUUUACUGUUCGAAAAAAACAAUAUCGUUACUACUAGGGGUGUCACGGUUUGCAUUUAAGUCCAUCGAAGCGAGCUUUCGAUUUAGACUAGUAAAAUUAAAAGCAGGAUCGGCGAUUCCCAGAGUAUUUCUUUUCUCUCUCCACCCAUUUGCGGCCAUAAACGUUGCACACAAGAAUAAACUGAAGGAAGAACGAAAGUAAGUUAUAGACGCUCCGAAGGAGGUAAAACAUGGACCAGACAGAAGAGGAAAGACUUACUGAGAUAGAAAUAAAACAACAGACAAAAUGAGAAGAACAAAGAAUCACUUUCGCUUAUCAAAAUCUGAAGCAGGAUCGUUGAUUCCCCCAAUAUUUUCUCUCUCUCUCUCCACCCCGGCUUGCUUGCAAAUGUCUGAAGAAAAAACUAAAACAGACAUAGCGUAGCUUAGCGGCUGGUAGCAUGCA